ACUUAUUCUCCAACGCAUAUGAUAUUUGGAUUUUAAAAAUAUUUUGUACUUCAAAUGUAGACUAAAUGGAAUGUUAUUGUCCCAUUGCCAAUGCAUUUUCCAUAUUUGAUAUGAUCCAUUUUAAAUCUAGUGCUGCAUUGUUUUUUUUUUCAGAAAGAGUCUCAAUAUUACUUACUCACAUCAAAAACAUCUGGUUUCUCCAUGUCAAAUAGUUUGGACUUCAUCAAUCGCAAGCAUGAUAAUCACUGACAAAAGUCCAUGAAUCAUGUGGGAUACACCUAAUUACCUCUUUCAGAACAGUUUCCGUAACAUUCCUCAAGGCAAUUUCUAUUCUUUAUAAGAUAUGUUGUGUUAUGAGGAUAUCUGUCAUAUAAAGUGGGAAGAAACACAGACUCUUAUGAGCAUAUCUGGAAUGUACAGUAGGGAAGAAACAUAGACCAGAACAAUCUACACAAUAAUUCUGAAAAUUAUAGACACCAACAAAAUGGUCUCAAACUAUUGUAAUUUGUUCUGAGAUGAGUAGUUAAGCAAUCAAAAAGUUUAAGUCUGUUAUCAAAAGUAAAA